UCNUGGGGGCAAGUCUGGUGCCAGCAGCCGCGGUAAUUCCAGCUCCAAUAGCGUAUAUUAAAGUUGUUGCAGUUAAAAAGCUCGUAGUUGAAUUUCGAGAUCGGCUUACUGGUCGUGCUUUUGUACGUACUGGUAUAAUCGGUUUCUCCUUUCUGACGAACUAUAAUGCCAUUAAUUUGGUGUUAUAGGGAAUCAGGACUGUUACUUUGAAAAAAUAGAGUGUUUAAAGCAGGCUCACGCUUGAAUACAUUAGCAUGGAAUAACGGAAUAGGACGUUUGAUUCUAUUUUGUUGGUUUCUAGGAUCGACGUAACGAUUAAUAGGGAUAGUUGGGGGCAUUAGUAUUCAAUUGUCAGAGGUGAAAUUCUUGGAUUUAUUGAAGACUAACUACUGCGAAAGCAUUUGCCAAGGAUGUUUUCAUUAAUCAAGAACGAAAGUUAGGGGAUCGAAGACGAUCAGAUACCGUCGUAGUCUUAACCAUAAACUAUGCCGACUAGGGAUCGGAUGAU
rnacentral:rRNA from 1 species